GGGCGGUUAGCUCAGUUGGCUAGAGCGCGUCGUUGACAUCGACGAGGUCAGAGGUUCGGCCUCUAUCGCCCA
rnacentral:tRNA from 1 species